rnacentral:rRNA from 1 species
GCGGACGGGUGAGUAAUGCCUAGGAAUCUGCCUGGUAGUGGGGGACAACGUUUCGAAAGGAACGCUAAUACCGCAUACGUCCUACGGGAGAAAGCAGGGGACCUUCGGGCCUUGCGCUAUCAGAUGAGCCUAGGUCGGAUUAGCUAGUUGGUGAGGUAAUGGCUCACCAAGGCGACGAUCCGUAACUGGUCUGAGAGGAUGAUCAGUCACACUGGAACUGAGACACGGUCCAGACUCCUACGGGAGGCAGCAGUGGGGAAUAUUGGACAAUGGGCGAAAGCCUGAUCCAGCCAUGCCGCGUGUGUGAAGAAGGUCUUCGGAUUGUAAAGCACUUUAAGUUGGGAGGAAGGGUUGUAGAUUAAUACUCUGCAAUUUUGACGUUACCGACAGAAUAAGCACCGGCUAACUCUGUGCCAGCAGCCGCGGUAAUACAGAGGGUGCAAGCGUUAAUCGGAAUUACUGGGCGUAAGCGCGCCGUAGGUAGUUUGUUAAGUUGGAUGUGAAAUCCCCGGGCUCAACCUGGGAACUGCAUCCAAAACUGGCAAGCUAGAGUAUGGUAGAGGGUGGGUGGAAUUUCCUGUGUAGCGGUGAAAUGCGUAGAUAUAGGAAGGAACACCAGUGGCGAAGGCGACCACCUGGACUGAUACUGACACUGAGGUGCGAAAGCGUGGGGAGCAAACAGGAUUAGAUACCCUGGUAGUCCACGCCGUAAACGAUGUCAACUAGCCGUUGGGAGCCUUGAGCUCUUAGUGGCGCAGCUAACGCAUUAAGUUGACCGCCUGGGGAGUACGGCCGCAAGGUUAAAACUCAAAUGAAUUGACGGGGGCCCGCACAAGCGGUGGAAGCAUGUGGUUUAAUUCGAAGCAACGCGAAGAACCUUACCAGGCCUUGACAUCCAUGACUUUCCAGAAG